rnacentral:rRNA from 1 species
UACAGAGGUCUCAAGCGUUGUUCGGAUUCAUUGGGCGUAAAGGGCGCGUAGGCGGCGGGGUAAGUCGGGUGUGAAAUCUCAGAGCUCAACUCUGAAAUGGCACUUGAUACUGCUCUGCUAGAGGACUGGAGAGGAGAUUGGAAUUCACGGUGUAGCAGUGAAAUGCGUAGAUAUCGUGAGGAAGACCGGUGGCGAAGGCGGAUCUCUGGACAGUUCCUGACGCUGAGGGGCGAAGGCCAGGGGAGCAAACGGG